CCCCAGGGCAACUGUUCCCGGCAAGGAAAGAGGGCAGGAGGCGGGAGGGGAGGCAGCCACGGGCCUCGCAAGAAGACGCCCGCCCCUUGGCAGCACAGCGCAGCCGGCCGCUGGAGCUGCAGCUGCCUGGAGCAGGUGACAGACCCAGCGGAGCUGCCUUGAUGAACAGGAAGCAGCCAGCCCGCCGGGCCCGAAGCAGGCCAGCGUUGCUGCAAAAAAGCCAGCGUGCCCCCCACCGCAACGGGGAGGAGGCAGCGCCACCCUGGAGCUUUCUGCAAUUAAAAGCAAAGGAGGGACAUCAUAUGGGUCAACGUGGCUAUGUGAGUUUCAGAUGCCCGGGACUCCUGGACGUGCCAGGAAUUGCCAACUGACAGGACAGAAGGCAGUCCUAGGAGUGGAUGCUGAAGAUAAACAGCUCAGCUUCUGAUAAUGACACAGCCCCAGCAGCGCCACAACAGUUCACAACAGCUGCCGCCUUCGAUGCUUCUGGCUUCCCCAUCUAGCCUGCGACGAAUGGUCUCCCAUUUAAGGACUGACCCCAUUGGAUCCUGCUUAGCUUUUAAGUCUUAGCCCGAGGGCUAGACAAGCCCUGCUGGAAAUCUAGGAAGAUCUCUCCACCCCGCCAGAACCUAAGAAAGCAAAAAUUAUCUGGCGCAGAAGUUCCUACACCUUCACCCUUCCACCAAGGGCAACUCCCCUUGAAUCCACAGCGCUUCUAAGCCAUCAAUUAGAGGCACGCAGUUAACAUUUAAUCUGGCCCACGACUCUUGCGGCCCAAUUAAACUCUGAAUUCCCAAACAAAGAAGCCAACUACGAGCAGCGGCACCUUCUGGGCGUGAUCUUCCGAGGGAUACG